rnacentral:rRNA from 1 species
AGUGAACGCUGGCGGCAGGCCUAACACAUGCAAGUCGAACGGCAGCACGGCAGUAGCAAUACUGUGGGUGGCGAGUGGCGGACGGGUGAGGAAUACAUCGGGAUCUACCCUGUUGUGGGGGAUAACGUAGGGAAACUUACGCUAAUACCGCAUAAGAACUGAGGUUGAAAGCGGCGGACCGCAAGGCGUCGCGCGAUUGGAUGAACCGAUGUCCGAUUAGCUAGUUGGCGGGGUAAAGGCCCACCAAGGCGACGAUCGGUAGCUGGUCUGAGAGGACGACCAGCCACACUGGAACUGAGACACGGUCCAGACUCCUACGGGAGGCAGCAGUGGGGAAUAUUGGACAAUGGGCGCAAGCCUGAUCCAGCCAUGCCGCGUGGGUGAAGAAGGCCCUUCGGGUUGUAAAGCCCUUUGUCCGGAAAGAAAAGACAUUCGGUUAAUACCCGGGUGUUCUGACGGUACCGGAAGAAUAAGCACCGGCUAACUUCGUGCCAGCAGCCGCGGUAAU